rnacentral:lncRNA from 1 species
GCGAGAGGGCCGAGGAACGAGGGACGGGGAGGGACUGUACGUGGGAGAGUGACACACAAAACACCCCGGGAAGCCGGAGGAGGCGUGGAAAGGUGGGGCCCGGGAGGUAAAACUGGGAUCGGCGCGUUCAGUGAGGCUGAUUAAAGAACAACGCGCAACCAGCGCCAUACGGCGCUCCUCAGGGUGACUCGGCUCUCUAGCUCUUAAGGGUUAGAAGCGACCCUCGCACGGUCCCCGGUGGGUCACCGCGCGAGGGCGGGGCAGUCCAGGCGACCCCUCGGCCGUCUCCCGUCCUACGGCUGUCAGGGAAGGGCUCCGGUUCCGGUAGGGUCUGCAUUUGGAAAGCCGGGGGCGAUGCAAGACCGCCUUGGCGUCGUCUCCCUCUCAGCCCCGGCUGAGCUGUCGGAUGGUCCCCCUCCCCCGGUUGCAAGCAGUAGGAGACCCGGCCGGCGGCGCCGGCUCGCCGAGGGAGCGCCUCGACCUCCCCGGCAGGCGCCGGCCCCGCGCGCCUCUUCCUGCUCUGCUGCGGCCCGGAGGCUUGUGGGUAACCGGGAGGACGACGUCAGCGCCCGCCGCAUCCCCGGGUGCCCCCCAGCCGCGGGGGACCGCGACGGCUCCGUGACCGUCACGUGCCGGAGGCCGCGGCUGCUCGCGGCCAGACCUUCGCAUCGAGGGACGUGAGGGACAUUUGUCCUAGAGGGCCCAAGAUAAGAACGAGAGGAAGAACCGGGAGGCAACUCUCCGUCAUCCUCUAGCCCCCCGCAUCCUAGGAAACGUAUGGAAAACAAUGGAAGGUUAAGUGUGUGCACAGUGAUCUGGCCCUGCAGGAGUGUGCCGACCAGGUGAUAUUUCCUGGGGCCUGGUGAUAAGGAUUUGGAAGGUUACAGCACAGAGACGUGAACGUAAAAAGGAAACAGAGGCAGCAAGCAAAUGAGGAAACCGAUACUCUGUUCUGAGAAUAAAGCCAUUUUACCGCUAGACGUCAUACUCUGUAGACGUUAUAGUGCUGGAUGUCUUUGGUACUAUUACAAGAAAUUAGAUAUCUCUAUCUUUAAAUAUCACUUAAGGAAAUUAAAUGAUUUCUACAGAUCAGUUAUUUAAAAGGGCACUAAUUAUGAACUAUUUUUUUUAAACGUAACCCGGUUAAUACUAGAUACUGAGAAUUAUCAGUAUUGGCUGGGCGCAGUGGCUCACGCCUGUAAUCCCAGCACUUUGGGAGGCCGAGGCAGGCGGAUCACGAGGUCCGGAAAUCGAGACCAUCCUGGCUAAGACGGUGAAACCCCGUCUCUACUAAAAAUACAAAAAAUUAGCCGGGCGUGGUGGGG